GUGUGUGUGUGUGUGUGUGUGUGUGUAGAGAGAAAUGGGGAGGGGGGAUACCUAGCAAUAAAUAUCAUUAUUUUAGUGUUGGACAUAAGAGGAAUAGACAGCAAAAGAAAGAAGAAGGUGUUAAGAGAAAAAAGAACUAAUACAAUGUGAUGUCAUGGAAGUCGUCGAUUCUGGGUUUUAGAAUUAAAAGAAGCUGUCUUAAAGUUAAUUUGGUCCAACGUACAGAUAAAGAAACUAAGGACCAUAGAGGUAAGUGACAUGUCUGAGACUGGAUGGUAAUAAAACUAUAAUAUAAAUUCAGGUUCUUCGACUGCAUAUCUCAUUCUUUUGAGAAGAAGAAUGUACUCAAAAGGAAGACCCUGUCAUCAGUUAAAAAUUAAAGGCCCAUCAUCAUAAUUUAUAGGAAAUUAUAAAAGAUAAACAUAAAAAAUUUGCACAGAGAAAAGCAUUUCAUCCUGAAUAAUAAGAAAAUGCAUAUUGGGGAAAACCUUUUAAGUAUUAAAAAAAUUAAUCAUCUCUGGUAAAAGUUGGAAUCCCCAAAUCUAAAAGAAAUUGACACAUAUUUUGAUAUAAUAUUAAGGUUCAUCCUAUCCAGUGAAAAAAUACAAACUCAACAACUACUUGAAAAAACACUGAAAAUUAUGACAAAGAAAUGCAUAUUAAAGCAUCUUUUAGAUGUACCAUCUUAUACAUCCUUAAAGGAUAAUGAAAGAUGAAAAAAUUUUAACACUGUUGGGGAUGUUAAUUCAUUGGCAAUAGAGCUAUAGAUUGAUUUAUUUUGGAAACAACAUAGAAUAAUACAGUAAAAAUUAGGAAAAUGUUUAAUUCAUUUUGACCCAGGAAUUUCAUAUUUAGUUUUAACCUAAAAGUAUUAGUGAAAGAAAGAAAAGACUUCUAUCUGUGUAAAAAAAAAAAAAAAGUAUUAUCACAUUUAGUAGGAAAAAAAGGAAACUAAUCAGUGAUUAGGAAUAAAAAAGUAGAUGAUGAUAUAUGAGUAGGAUAUCAGCUUUGUAAAGAAUGCAAAAUAUAAAGGGGAAAAAUAAGGGGGAAAGUAAAGUCAUGCAAAGGAAGAGAAAACUUGAACAAAAGAACAACUUGUACAGAAACUACAACUAUGUAAGUGACAUCAAACCAUAGCAGAGUUAGGGUGAAAUUACAAGAAAAUUAUGACAUUGUCCAAGUUAAUGCACAAGUUUUUCCAUUUAUUUUAACAAUUGACUGUAGGAGGGUAGGGUAUAUUUUUACAGUCUUUUGAGCAUUUUGUUUUUGUUUUUAAUUUUUGGUGAUUAUCAUUCAUUUAAAAAAAAUAGCUCCUUAUUUUUCAAGCUACAUACAAAAGAUAGUUUUCAACAUUCACCCUUGCAAAACCUUUUGGUCCAAAUUUUUCUCCCUACCUUCUAUCCCGCGCUAUUCCCUAGACAGCAAGUAAUCUAAUACAGGUUAAACAUGUGCAAUUCUUCUAAAUAUAUUUCUACAUUUAUCAUGCUGCACAAGAAAAAUCAGAUCAAGAAGGAGGAAAAAAAUGAGAAAAAACUAGCAAGUAAACAACAGCAGCAAAGGAGAAAAUAUUAUGUUGUGAUCCACAUUCAGUCCGCAUUGAACCUCUUUCUGAAUAUAAAUGGCUCUCCAUCCAAUUGGAAUUGACCUGAAUCAUCUCAUUGCUGAAAAGAGCCAUGUCCAUUAUGGUUGUUCAGGUGAUUGUCAUAUGAUGCUGCUUAUAUUGUAUUUCUUUGAUUCUUAUUUCUAUGUCUGAACUCUUGUAUGUAUCAAUGGAAGUUAAAAUGUACCUAUGAAAAGAAAAUUCAGAUAAAAAAUACAGAGGAAAUUUUAUCUAGGCUGAGAAAGUUAUGAAAAGUUCAUUAGAUUCAAUGAAUUAAGUCUGAUGACUUUGGUUUCAUUUGAGCUGGUGUGAGAACAUAUUAGUCAAUAUUUAUUACAUUCUUGUUAUAUUCCAGACCCUGAAUUAAGCCAUGGGGAUAUAAAUAAGGGGAAAAAAAGAUAGCCCUUGCCAUUAAAGGAACUUCCAAUCUAAGGGGAGGAAACACAUAAAAGUUGCAAAUAAUAGAGAUAGGGGUAGGGAAAUGGAGGGGAAGACAUUACAUUCUUAGAAAGGUUUCUUGAACUGGGGAUACUAAUGAGUUAUGAAUACCCCAAUUGACAUGAUUUUCCAAUAGAAAGAAAUUACUAGAGGCAUGAUAGAAAAAUCCAGAGGAGGUGCGGCCAAGUAGAAAAUGAAGAGGCUUCAGGCCUAGACUACCUUUUCCCAAGAAGUUUAGUUUUAAAAGGGAAAGAGAUGAGAAGUGCUAACUUGAAGAAGCUUAACAAAUUGUGAAGUUUGGGAGCUGUUUAGUUUGUUUUCUUAAAGCUUGUCUGUUUAAAAGCAGAUGGGAAGGAGCCAAGGAAGAGAGGGGAUGACUGGUGGAUCAGGGCCCUGAAUGGAGUUAAGGAUACAGUCAUCUUGCUACACAAGAAAAAUGAGAUCAAGAAGGAAGAAAAAGAAAAACAGAAAGAAAAUAAAAUGCAAGCAAAUAACAACAGAGAGUGAGAAUGUAUGUUGUGGUCUAUACUCUGUUCCCACAGUUCUCUCUCUGGGUGUAGAUAGUACUCUUCAUCACUGAACAAGUGGAACUGAUUUGAAUCUUCUCACUGUUGAAGAAAGUCACACCCAUCAAAAUUGAUUGUCGUACAUUCUUGUUGCCGUGUCCAAUGAUCUCCUGGUUCUACUUAUUCACUUAGCAUCAGUUCAUGUAGGUCUCUCCAGGACUCUCUGACAUCAUCCUGCUGGUCGUUUCUUUCAGAACAAUAAUAUUCCAUAACAUUCAUAUACCAUAACUUAUUCAGCCAUUCCCCAACGGAUGGGCACCCACUCAUUUUCCAGUUUCUUUCCAAUACAAAAAGGGCUCCCACAAACAUUUUUGCACAUGUGGGUUCCUUUCUCUCCUUUAAGAUCUCUGGGAUAUAAGCCCAGUAGAAACACUGCUGGGUCAAAGGGUACAUACAGUUUGAUGACUUUUUUUGAUUAAAGUUCCAAAUUGCUCUCCAGAUUGGUUGGAUCUAUUCACAACUCCACCAACAAUGCAUCAGUGUCCCAGUUUUCCCACAUCCCCUCCAACAUUCGUGGUUAUUGUUUCCUGUCAUCUUAGCCAAUCUGACAGGGGUAUAGUGGUAUCUCAGAGUUGUCUUAAUUUUAAUUUGCAUUUCUCUAAUCAAUAGUGAUUUGGAACACCUUUUCAUAUGAGUAGAAAUAGGUUUAAUUUUAUUAUCCAAAAAUUGUCUUCAUAUCCUUUGACCAUUUAUCAACUGGAAAAUGAACAAGCCUUCUUUUGCAACAGAUAAUUUAAGUCAAAUCAAAUUCAUCUACUGAUUGGCUGAAGGUGUGUGUCUCAUUCUACAUAUUUGUUUCAUAGUCUUUCUCUGCCCAGAGAUGGACAUGUUUCAUCAUCAGUGUGAAGUCAAGGUUAGUCAUUGCAUUAUUUUGAGUUAAUUCUUUCAAAGUUCUUUUCCUUUAAAUAAUUGUAGUAAUUGUAUGAACCAUUCUAGUGUUCACUUCAUUGUUCCUAAAGUCCUCUCAGAUUGCUCUGAAUCUAUUUUAUAAUUUAUUUACAGUAUUUGUACUGUAUUAUACAAUACAAUUGGUACUUGUGAUGACCAGCACAACACAGAUGGUCUAGUAGCAGUUGAAAAUAAGGAAACGGUUACUGAUAAUUCAACAGAGCUGAUUAUUGAGAGAAAUCAUGUUACUUAUAUAUCUUAAAACCAUAUGUUAUUAUGAAAAACAUUGUUCAUAACCAACUCUGGUUUCUCUUUUCUAUGAUCUAACUCUCUGUAGCAUGUAGUCAAUCUUACUUCAAAUUCAUGAUGCCCCAAUAAUUGUGCCAAGGCUUUAUGUUUUUCCAUGAUCUCAAGGUUAAAUGCGCUCUUGAUUAAUCUUAGGAGGAGGAGAACAUCCCAGUUACUGAAGUUUCUAGCUUCCUGAGAGUUCUCUACAAGUAAUAGUAAUAUUACUAAUAAAUAUCAUUGGGGCAAAAAGUAUAGUUUAAUAAUUUUGGGGAUAUAGUUCCAAAUUAGUUUCCAUAAUCAAACCAAUUCACAGUUCUUCCAACAGGUUCUCUAACAAGUGUUUUCUUUUUUCAUCAGCAUUUUAAAGGCUCUUGGGCAUGAAGUAGAAUCUUAGUGUUGAUUUAAUUUGUAUUUCUCUUGUUAAUGAUUUGAAGCAUUUUUUUAAACAUGGUUCUUGAUUACUUGCAUUCCUCUUUUAAAACUGCUUAGAGAAUCAGUUAUUUUCAUAUAGUUAUAUUAGUUCCCUAUUUAUCUUGCAUAUCAGAUUUUUAUCAGAGAAAUUGUGGUAAAUUUUUCUCUAGCUGUUCUCCUUUCUAAUUUUAAUUGCAUUGAUUUUGUUUGUAAAAAAUUGUGAAUUAUGUGAACAUUUGGGAGCUUGAACUAGAAAAAUUUGAACUAUUUAUUUGGAGAAGGAAUAAAGAUUUUAUAAUGUAAAAAUUCA